UAGAUUUGCAUUUUCAGUUCAAUUAAAUGUAAUUAUUUUAAAUCAACAACUCUAAAACCGAUGCCUAGUGCGCAUGCUCAAACUUCCCAGAAGUGAAGAGGCGGGAACGCGGAGAAAGUUAUAUGUGUUCAGUGAACUGCCGAUUCCCUCUGCGGAAUCUUCCACAAUACAGUAACACCACAAAGAAAGCUGCCCCCUUUUUCUGAUUGUUUGUGCCUCCUCUUUAAUACAUGUGACUUGUAUGUGGCAGUGCAAGCGUUGUUCCAUCAGGGAGAGUAGUAGGUACAAAUUAUUGAAACACUGUAGAUUACAUCACCAUUAUGGACCCAGCCAGCGUUAUCUUUGUAUAUGUAAAUUGUCCAUGCACAUUUAAGACUUGGUGUGGACUAAAAACACAUGUUUACAGAUGUCACUCUUCUCAUUUUAAACAGACAGCUGUCAGUUCAGUCACUUUUAGGUGCGAGUUGUGUGACUGCAGUGACCUUACCACAGAGAGAGAUUAUUUUGGACAUAUUGGAUCACAUUUACAAAAUAGUGAGACAGUAAUUUUUUUUUAUUUUCAGGCUGCUCUUUCAAGACAAAUAUCUUUGGUACAUUUUAUACACACAAAAAGACGAAGCAUCAUUCAGAUUCACUUAAAGAUUUCAAGGUAGGUUUAGUGGUGUGUUUU